GGCGCCCUGUGGGAGAGCCCUGGGGUGAGGGUGAGCCUGCUGGGGGACCAGCAUGACAUUGGGGGUCACAGCAGGGGGAACAUCCCACCUUCCGUGCAAAAUUGGAGACCUCGUAAUGACGGAAGCCAGAGGCGACCAGCACACUCCGGGCAGUCUGGUACAUGUCAGCCAGCAGAUCCUGGGGGGGUGCAGGCAGCGCCCCACUCCUGACCUGCGCUGCCAGCGCCGUGCCCCGCUCCAGCGUCAGCUGGUACAGGGAGAUGUGGUCGUCACAGAGCCCCAGGGUCGCCUCCAGCCGCUGGGCCCAGGCGUCCCGGCUCUGUCCCGGCAGCCCAAACAGGAGGUCGAUGGAGGUUCGGCCAGGAAAGAGCCCCCGCGCUGCUUCCACAGCCUUCCGUGCCUCCGCCGCCGUGUGCUCCCGGCCCAGCAUCCUCAGCUCGGCGUCAUCCAGCGACUGCGGAGGGAGCACGGUGCCCAUGGGCUCACGGGGGGCUGCGGGGGCUGCGGCGGGGAGAGCCCCUCUCACCUGGACGCCGAUGGAGAUGCGGUUGACCCCAGCCGCCCUGAAGCCGGCAAGUUUCCGAGCAGGCAGCGAGGACUAUAAGAGUGGGACUCGGGCACGGGCAGGGCAGAAGCCAUUGAGCGAGCCUGGAGCACUGCACGCAUGGAGGCUGCACUGGCAGACAAAACGGACAGCUUUUCCUCUUCCAGUGCAGACGUGGACAGGGGACUUGGCCCCGCCGUCUGCUUCCAUGGGUAGAGCCCACAGCCAGCUGUGAGAUGAAGGAUUGAGACCUCGCUGACACUUCUUCUUUCUCCUCUUGCACUGCCCUCCACCCACCAGAGGAAGCCAAGCAUGGAGGGGGGCCAGCCUCAGCUCUGCUUGGAAAGGAAGCAGGAGGGAGACAGCUGGAGGUCAGCGAGAGCUGGCAACAACAUUAUCUACACUGCAGCUGGCGUGGGACACUUCUGCUGGCAAAGAGGAGCUCUGCCAUCCCUCCUCUCCCAGGAGUGUUUCAUGGUUGGGAGGUACCAAAUAACUCCCGUAAAAUGCUGUCCCAGGUACGCUCUGCUUCACACUGCCAAUUCUGGGACAGGAAUUUUGGUAUUUCUGCAACAACCUUACUGUCUUGUCCAAAACAACAAAAUAAACAAAGCUGUGUCUAUCUUGGAGAAGGGGUU
rnacentral:lncRNA from 1 species